GACGAACGCUGGCGGCGUGCUUAACACAUGCAAGUCGAACGAUGAAGCCGGAGCUUGCUCUGGUGAAUUAGUGGCGAACGGGUGGGUAACACGUGAGUAACCUGCCCUUGACUCUGGGAUAACUGCGGGAAACUGUAGCUAAUACCGGAUACGACCCUCGGAGGCAUCUCCUGGGGGUGGAAAGAAUUUCGGUCAAGGAUGGACUCGCGGCCUAUCAGCUAGUUGGUGAGGUAAAGGCUCACCAAGGCGACGACGGGUAGCCGGCCUGAGAGGGUGACCGGCCACACUGGGACUGAGACACGGCCCAGACUCCUACGGGAGGCAGCGGUGGGGAAUAUUGCACAAUGGGCGCAAGCCUGAUGCAGCAACGCCGCGUGAGGGAUGACGGCCUUCGGGUUGUAAACCUCUUUUAGCAGGGAAGAAGCGAAAGUGACGGUACCUGCAGAAAAAGCACCGGCUAACUACGUGCCAGCCGCCGCGGUAA
rnacentral:rRNA from 1 species